CCUACGGGAGGCAGCAGUGGGGAAUAUUGGACAAUGGGGGCAACCCUGAUCCAGCAAUGCCGCGUGUGUGAUGAAGGCCUUAGGGUUGUAAAGCACUUUCACUGGUGAAGACGAUGACGUUAACCAGAGAAGAAGCCCCGGCUAACUUCGUGCCAGCAGCCGCGGUAAU
rnacentral:rRNA from 1 species